UACGGGGGGGGCAAGCGUUGUUCGGAAUUACUGGGCGUAAAGGGUGCGUAGGCGGCUUUCUAAGUUGGAUGUGAAAACUAUGGGCUCAACCCAUAGCCUGCAUCCAAAACUGGAGAGCUUGGGUUCUGGAGGGGAAAGCGGAAUUCCUGGUGUAGCGGUGAAAUGCGUAGAUAUCAGGAGGAACACCGGUGGCGAAGGCGGGUCUCUGGGCCGACAUUGACGCUGAGGAGCGAAAGCGUGGGGAGCGAACAGG
rnacentral:rRNA from 1 species